CUCCCCAGCAACCACCACCACCAAGCCUGGGCCCCAACGGAACCAUUUCCACCACCUUUACCUGCACCCCUUUGGCUGAAGCUGCUCCAUCCUGAUCGUAGUUCAUGUCACUAUGAACAAUAAGGUCUGCCCAUUUGUAAUCACAGUGAAAGUGAAACAGGAAGACCAUCAUGGAGUGCUAGAGGGACAAGCACAUCUCAAUCCAUCAGCUGUUUACUGAGGAAGUCAGACAUCUCUGCGGCUUCUUAGGCCAUGGCCAAGGACAUGAAGAUACAGAUAUCCAGGAAGAGAGUCACACACGAAGGCAGGGAUGUAGACUUGGGGCCCAGAGGUGAAUAAGACACCCUCAAUUGCCUGACAUCAGAGAUGGCAAAACUGAGGCCCAGAGAUGAGAGCUCACCCACCCACUCCCAGGAAGCAGCAGAGCGAAUACUGGAACCCAAGUAUGUCUUUCUAUUGUGCUGCUGGACUGCAGAGCAAAAAGAGGGAUUUUCUCCUUCUAUGCACCCAGCAGCCCUUGUUGGAGGUGCAGGGAUGGAUUCCAGGGCAGAGCGAGGGGGCAGGGAGUGUCAUCUGUGUGGUGCCAUAACAUUCCUGUGAAAUAAAAAAAAUCUUUGCUACC